GGCUCAUUGGGUUAAGGGUGGGAUUCUUCCUUAGGGUGUGAGAUGUCCCGGGUUGGAAUCCUGGAUGAGCCC